rnacentral:snRNA from 1 species
GUGCUCACUUCAGCAGCACAUAUAAUAAAAUUAGAACAAUACAGAGACUAUUAGCAUGGCCUCUGCUCAAGGAUGACAUGCAAAUUUGUGAAGCAUUCAUAUUUUUU